UGGAGCAGCUGUCGUUGUUGCAGCAGUGGUUGUAGUCGGAGCAGGUGUUGUUGUUGCAGCAGUGGUUGUCGUUCGACCAGCAGUUGUCGUUGCUGCCGUUGUUGUAGUCUGAGCAGGUGUUGUCGUUGGAGCAGGUGUUGUCGUUGGAGCAGGUGUUGUCAUUGGAGCAGGUGUCGUUGUUGCAGCAG